CGUGAGCAACCUGCCCUGGACUCUGGGAUAAGCGCUGGAAACGGCGUCUAAUACUGGAUAUGAGACGUGAUCGCAUGGUCGUGUUUGGAAAGAUUUUUCGGUCUGGGAUGGGCUCGCGGCCUAUCAGCUUGUUGGUGAGGUAAUGGCUCACCAAGGCGUCGACGGGUAGCCGGCCUGAGAGGGUGACCGGCCACACUGGGACUGAGACACGGCCCAGACUCCUACGGGAGGCAGCAGUGGGGAAUAUUGCACAAUGGGCGGAAGCCUGAUGCAGCAACGCCGCGUGAGGGAUGACGGCCUUCGGGUUGUAAACCUCUUUUAGCAGGGAAGAAGCGAAAGUGACGGUACCUGCAGAAAAAGCGCCGGCUAACUACGUGCCAGCAGCCGCGGUAAUACGUAGGGCGCAAGCGUUAUCCGGAAUUAUUGGGCGUAAAGAGCUCGUAGGCGGUUUGUCGCGUCUGCUGUGAAAUCCCGAGGCUCAACCUCGGGCCUGCAGUGGGUACGGGCAGACUAGAGUGCGGUAGGGGAGAUUGGAAUUCCUGGUGUAGCGGUGGAAUGCGCAGAUAUCAGGAGGAACACCGAUGGCGAAGGCAGAUCUCUGGGCCGUAACUGACGCUGAGGAGCGAAAGGGUGGGGAGCAAACAGGCUUAGAUACCCUGGUAGUCCACCCCGUAAACGUUGGGAACUAGUUGUGGGGACCAUUCCACGGUUUCCGUGACGCAGCUAACGCAUUAAGUUCCCCGCCUGGGGAGUACGGCCGCAAGGCUAAAACUCAAAGGAAUUGACGGGGACCCGCACAAGCGGCGGAGCAUGCGGAUUAAUUCGAUGCAACGCGAAGAACCUUACCAAGGCUUGACAUAUACGAGAACGGGCCAGAAAUGGUCAACUCUUUGGACACUCGUAAACAGGUGGUGCAUGGUUGUCGUCAGCUCGUGUCGUGAGAUGUUGGGUUAAGUCCCGCAACGAGCGCAACCCUCGUUCUAUGUUGCCAGCACGUAAUGGUGGGAACUCAUGGGAUACUGCCGGGGUCAACUCGGAGGAAGGUGGGGAUGACGUCAAAUCAUCAUGCCCCUUAUGUCUUGGGCUUCACGCAUGCUACAAUGGCCGGUACAAAGGGCUGCAAUACCGUAAGGUGGAGCGAAUCCCAAAAAGCCGGUCCCAGUUCGGAUUGAGGUCUGCAACUCGACCUCAUGAAGUCGGAGUCGCUAGUAAUCGCAGAUCAGCAACGCUGCGGUGAAUACGUUCCCGGGUCUUGUACACACCGCCCGUCAAGUCA
rnacentral:rRNA from 1 species